rnacentral:rRNA from 1 species
GACGAACGCUGGCGGCGUGCCUAACACAUGCAAGUCAACUUGACUGAAGGAGCAAUCUGACAGUAGAGUGGCGCAAGGGUGCGUAACGCGUAAGUAACUUGCCCAAGGUAAGGAAUAACGUCGAGAAAUCGGCGCUAAUACCUCAUAAUGCAGCGGAUCCGCAUGGAUAUGUUGUUAAAGGUUUACCGCCUUGGGAUAGGCUUGCGUCUGAUUAGCUAGUUGGUGUGGUAACGGCACACCAAGGCUACGAUCAGUAACUGGUCUGAGAGGAUGAUCAGUCACACUGGAACUGAGACACGGUCCAGACUCCUACGGGAGGCAGCAGUGAGGAAUAUUGGGCAAUGCUCGAAAGAGUGACCCAGCAACGCCGCGUGGAGGAUGAAGGUAUUCUAUAUCGUAAACUCCUGUGAGAGCAGACGAAGACAGAUUAUAAUCUGGAUGACUGUAUGCUCAGAGGAAGCCCCGGCUAACUACGU